GCCGGGGUGGUGGAAGGGUAUACACGGCGAACUUAAAAUUCGCUGCCCGAAAGGGCAUGUGGGUUCGAAUCCCACCCCCGGCACCA
rnacentral:tRNA from 1 species